GACGUAGGGCGCGAGCGUUGUCCGGAUUUAUUGGGCGUAAAGAGCUCGUAGGCGGCUUGUUGCGUCGGCUGUGAAAACCCAUGGCUCAACCGUGGGCUUGCAGCCGAUACGGGCAGGCUAGAGUUCGGUAGGGGAGACUGGAAUUCCUGGUGUAGCGGUGAAAUGCGCAGAUAUCAGGAGGAACACCGGUGGCGGAGGCGGGUCUCUGGACAGUUCCUGACACUGAGACACGAAGGCCAGGGGAGCAAACGGG
rnacentral:rRNA from 1 species